rnacentral:rRNA from 1 species
AUGGCGCUGCAGAAACUCUUCUAUAUCUCACUUUUCCUGCUAGUAUGCACAGCCAAGGAGAUCAACCCCGAAGCGGAGGCACUACUCCGAUGGAAGUCCAGUUUGAUCCGUGCCAACUCGCUGUCCUCCUGGUCGAUAUCCUAUCCGACAUGUUCUUGGUUUGGGGUCACUUGUGAUGCUUCAGGGCAUGUUACCGAGCUCCGCCUUCCCAUCGCGAGCCUUCAUGGUACGCUACACACCUUAUACUCUCCAGUGCUCCAAAACCUCACUGUGCUUGACCUUGGCACAAAUAACCUUGGUGGUGUUGUCCCAGCAAAUAUCUCUCUAUUUCACACCCUCACCGUUCUGAACUUGAGCAACAACAAUCUUGUUGGUGCCAUCCCCUAUCAACUCAGCAAGCUACCAAUGAUUAUCAAAUUGGAUUUGGGAAAUAACAACCUGACCAACCCAGAAUAUGCCAAUUUCUCACCGAUGUCCACUUUAAAGCUAUUCACUCCAGAGAUUGUCCCAAGGUUGAGGUAUCUAAAUCUGUCCGCUAAUUUAUUCUCUGGCUCCAUACCUUGCUCACUCUCAAGGCUCCAAAAGCUAGAGAUACUAUGUCUCGGGAGAAAUAAUCUCACAGGAGGAAUCCCAGAGGUGUUGGGGAUGAUACCUGGACUCCGAACCCUUAUACUAUACAGUAACCCACUUGGUGGAUCAAUCCCAGCCUCACUCGGGCAGCUUCAGUUGCUGGAGACGCUCGGCAUCGGAAAUGCUAGCUUGGUUUCUACUCUUCCGCCCCAGCUGGGGAACCUUACCAGUCUCAAGAUCAUGGUACUGAACGAGAAUCAUUUAUUCGGAACUUUGCCACCAUCAUUUGCCAGGAUGCAGGAAUUGCAAGAAUUUGUAAUAGAGGAGAACAGUAUCAGUGGUACCAUUCCACAAGAGAUGUUUACAAACUGGACCAAGCUCAAGUACUUUGAUGUAAAUCACAACUUGUUAGCUGGAAGCAUCCCUUCUCAGAUCAGCGAGUGGAAGGAGCUACUGUGUCUCCUCCUCUCCCACAACAACUUUACUGGCUCGAUCCCAGUGGAGCUGGGAAGCAUGCCAAACUUGCAAGCAUUGGACUUGUCGAAUAACCACCUUACUGGAAUUAUGCCAUCAAAUAUCGGUAAUGCAUCAUCUUUGAAACUCCUUGGCGUCAGCUUCAACCAUCUUGAGGGUGAGAUUCCUGCGACCAUCUCCUCGCUGGUAAACCUUGUUGCUCUCUUCUUGUCUGACAACAAGUUUACGGGUAUCGGUCCUAAUCUUGACAGCAAGCAGUUGCCAGUUGUCAAAGUGGCCAAUAAUAGUGGCUUCUUGGGAAAACCAUUGUGUGCCUUUUGCCAACUAACACUUCUGCGAAUCUUGGAUCUAUCGAACAAUCAGUUGUUUGGUGAGCUUCCUGGUUGCUUGUGGAAUUUGAGAGAUCUACAAUUCUUGGAUUUGUCGAGCAAUGCUUUUGCUGGGGUAGUUCCAACCUCAGCUAACUACAAUUCUUCGCUAAGUUUGUUGCACUUGUCCAACAACAAUUUCACAGGUUCCUUUCCAGCAGUGUUGAAGAACUUCAAAAGCCUUGUUAUUUUGGAUCUUGGGAACAAUAAGAUGUCUGGUGCACUCCCUCCGUGGAUAGGAGAAAGCAAUCCUUUGCUGAGGAUUCUUAGACUGCGAUCAAACAUGUUCCAUGGAAGUAUUCCCAGGCAGCUACUAAAACUCUCUCAUCUCCAACUCCUUGAUCUCGCUGAAAAUACUUUUGUAGGUUCUAUAACAGAAAAUUUUAUCAACUUCUCCUCGAUGAGUCAGGCAUCCAUGAUGCAGCCGGUUCCAACAACUUACAUAGAAUUGAGACCCUUCCGAUUUGCUGGUGAUGGCAGCAUAGGUAUACUUUGGAAGAGACGGGAGUACACCUUUGACGAAAGAUAUCUAUUUGUGACUGGCAUUGAUCUCUCCGGCAAUUCUCUCUCUGGUGAAAUCCCUUCAGAGUUGAAAAAUCUUAGAGGCGUCCAGUUACUAAAUAUGUCAAGAAAUAAUCUAUCUGGUGGUAUCCCGAAGGACAUUGGCAAUCUCAAACUGUUAGAAUCCCUUGACCUCUCAUGGAAUAAACUGUCUGGUCCUAUUCCUCCUAGCAUGUCGAACUUGAAGUUCCUGAGCUCUCUUAACCUCUCAAACAACCGUCUAUCAGGCGAGAUACCUACAGGAAGUCAGCUCCAGACACUUGAGGACCCAUCGAUCUAUAGCAAUAACCUCAGACUUUGUGGUCCACCAUUGAGCAUUCCAUGUACAAACAAUUCAGAUACUACGACACCAGCGGAUGGGGCAAAGGAACAUCACCAUGAACUUGAAACAUUAUGGCUCUACUACUCAGUGAUUGCUGGAACUAUUUUCGGUUUUUGGGUAUGGUGUGGAGCACUGUUUUUCUGCAAGAUCUGGAGGUUUGCUUUCUUCAGCUGCGUCGAUGCGCUGCACCAAAAGUUUAUACUGAAGAUGAAGCGCACCUGA